GAUGAACGCUGGCGGCGUGCCUAAUACAUGCACGUCGAGCGAACGGACGAGAAGCUUGCUUCUCUGAUGUUAGCGGCGGACGGGUGAGUAACACGUGGAUAACCUACCUAUAAGACUGGGAUAACUUCGGGAAACCGGAGCUAAUACCGGAUAAUAUUUUGAACCGCAUGGUUCAAAAGUGAAAGACGGUCUUGCUGUCACUUAUAGAUGGAUCCGCGCUGCAUUAGCUAGUUGGUAAGGUAGCGGCUUACCAAGGCAACGAUGCAUAGCCGACCUGAGAGGGUGAUCGGCCACACUGGAACUGAGACACGGUCCAGACUCCUACGGGAGGCAGCAGUAGGGAAUCUUCCGCAAUGGGCGAAAGCCUGACGGAGCAACGCCGCGUGAGUGAUGAAGGUCUUCGGAUCGUAAAACUCUGUUAUUAGUGAAGAACAUAUGUGUAAGUAACUGUGCACAUCUUGACGGUACCUAAUCAGAAAGCCACGGCUAACUACGUG
rnacentral:rRNA from 1 species